UCGUAGGGCUUUUGUCCUGUCGAGAUAGCGGCCUUGCCUAUUUUUUGGAGUACCUUUUGUUUCCUCGGCAGGCUUGCCUGCCACUGGGGACCCCCUUAAACUCUUUGUAAAUACAGUAUCUGUCUGAAAAAACAAACAAAAAAUCA
rnacentral:misc_RNA from 1 species